ensembl:lncRNA
GGAAAGAAGGAAGGAGGGAGGGAGAAAAUACAGUUUGGGCACCUACUAUGUGGCAAUUACUUUUACAUUACUUGUACUUAUCUUCACAAUGACCUUGUAAGGGAGGUCUUGUAUUCCCACUUUAUAAAAGAGGAGACUGAGACUCAGAUCUCUUGGAGUCUUUAAUUCUAAGUCCAAAGAGUUGUGGAGUCUUCCGAUUCCAAGUCUAAAGUCCUAAUAUUUAUUUUCUUCCUGAAUGUUGUGGUAUUGAUGUUAAACAAGACCAUUCUGUCUAGCCAGUUAAGAAUGUACUUGAUGGGCAUGAAAAAACCUAAUAGUGGCUUAGAAUGCUUGAGAGAUUUUAUUUGACAUUUAGCUAGGCAAGUUCAUUUAGGCAUAUGAAGACAAGUACAGAAAGUUCUCCAUUUUCAUAGAUUAAGAACACAGUUUUGCAUGCUUUCCAUGUUUGGCCUUGUCUUUAUUGUUGCUCUUUUCUUGUGGUACUGGCUGUUAGAGUUUUUAACUUAAAAUAGGUAAAAGAAUAGAAAGGUAGGCAAAAAUCUGUAAUGGAGGACGUUGAAUUUUGGAUUAUCUAUAAAUCUUAUGUCAUACCAAUGUUAAUCACAUGGGUUAAUUCAAAGAAGCAUAAAAUAUUAGAAUUGACAGGUGUCUUAAAGAUUACCUGCUGGAAUAUUCUCAAUAUGUAAUGAAGAGGUCAGAAUUCCAAUGGGUUGAGUGAUUUUUCAGCAGCUCAUCCAACUACUUUGAUAUCAAGGCUGAAUUGAACUCAACAUCUUUUACUCCUUCAAUUGUAUAUUACCAUUAUAUGAGUUCAACCUGUUCUGAGGAUUUUUUCGUCUAUGAACAGAAGAAAAUGCUUAAGUAAUCUUUUCAUUACACUUAGGAUGAGUAGUGAACUUACUGGAUUCAGAAGCGUGUUUUGCUGUUGUAAAACACAUACUAAGAAGGGUUUCCUACUAUUGUGAAAGCUGAGGACCAGGUUUCCAAUAAGGACAUCAAAUAGGGAGAGAAAACACAUUUUAAAUAAGGCUAAGAUUAUAUUUUCUCUUGGGUUUCUUUAUUUUUACCUAAUUGCCUACAUGAUUAAGUUUAAAUAAAUAUACCUUUUAAGAAACAUUCAAUCUUUUAGUUCCAAAAGAAAGGUAAUAGAGAAUAAGGUUGCUUGUAAUAUUACUGAUCAUACCCUUAUAUAGAAAUGAAUAUAAAAAUGUACAAAUACGGAAAACUCACUAGUGAAAAUUGAUGGAAAAUCUUUCGUCAUGCUACACUUUAAAAUGCAAACAUAAAGGGCAGAAACAAAUGGCAGGAAAUAGCUAAUUGUUCAUUCAGCCAGAUUCUUGGGACAAUGGUUUGAAGCAGCUACAUGAUAUGCUUAGUAUCCAGUUUCCUACCAUUUCAUAUAAACAUUGCCUCUCUGUUUCUUUCAUGGAUAAAUUUAACCUUAAAAUCAGUCCCAGUGUCUCCAGUGCUGUCCUGUUUGUAGGGCAGUAAUCAGUCAACAGGUUUUUGACACUUUGUGGCUUACAGGAUAUCUUUCAGCAGACAGACAUGUUCAUUAGUUGUCUAGUUUCUAAUGAUAUUUCUGGACUGUGUACAGGAACUGAUAGUGCCAUGUGGUAAAUGGCUAUUUAUUCUGGCUUCUGAGCAAUUGAAAUGCAGGGAACUAUUUAGUUCCAUGGUACUUGACAGAAAGGAACAGAUUUACUAGACAAGGUUGAAAACAAUUCUGCCAUUGUGAGCUGAGAAUAAAUUUACAGAAGUGUAGCAUCUUUUCUAUAUGCAUAUCCAGUAGUAAAGAAUAGUGUAGAGAUACCAUCCAUGUUCAAACAAAAGGUAUUUUUAAAAAUAUAUAAUGAGGCCUAAUAUGAUGGCUCAAUGUCUGUAAUCCCAGUGCUUUGGGAGGCCAAGGUAGGAGUAUCACUUGAGGCCAGGAGUUCCUGAGCAACAUGGCAAGACCAUGUCUCUACAAAAUUUUUUUAAAAAUAGCCGGUUGUAGUAGUGCAUGCUGGUAGUCCCAGCUAUUCAGGAGGCUGAGGUGGGAGGAUUACUUGAGCCCAGGAUUUCAAGGUUACAGUGCGCUAUGAUUGCACCACUUCACUCCAGUCUGGGCAACAAAGCAAGACCUCUCUCUCUAUAUAUAUAUAUAUAAAUAUAUAUUAUAUAUGAUUAUAUAAUUAUAUAAUAUAAUUAUAUUAUAUAUUGCAUAUAAUAUAUUAUAAUAUAUAAUAUAUCAUAUAUUAUAUUAUCAUAUAUUAUAUAUCACAUAUAUCAUAUAUUAUAUUAUAUAUGAUAUAUUAUAUAUUAUGUACAAUUAUAUAUUAUAUGUAAAUGCAAUAUAUAAUAUAUAAUAUAUAAAUAUAUAAUGUAUUUAUAUAUAAGAUAUAUUAUAUAAAUAUAUAAUAUAGUAUAUAUACUAUAUUAAUAUCACAUAUUAUAUAUAAUAUAUUAAUAUAUUUAUAUAUUAUAUAUUAUAUAUUAAAAUAUAUUAAUUAUAUGUUAAUAUAUAAUAAUUAAUUGAUAAUUAAUAUUUAUUAAUUAUUAUGUUUAUUAUAUAAAUAUAUUAUAUAUACUAUAUUAAUAUUAUACAUUAUAUAUUAAUAUAUUAUGUAUAUUUUAUAUUUAUAUAUAUAUAAAACACAAUAUUGGCUGAGCGCGGUGGCUCACGCCUGUAAUCCCAGCACUUUGGGAGGCCGAGGCGGGCAGAUCACGAGGUCAGGAGAUCGAGACCAUCCUGGCAAACACGGUGAAACCCCGACUCUUCUAAAACUACAAAAAAUUAGCCAGGAGUGAUGGCGGGCGCCUGUAGUCCCAAUUACUCAGGAGGCUGAGUAAGGAGAAUGGCGUGAACCUGGGAGGUGAAAGCUUGCAGUGAGCCUAGAUCCCGCAACUGCACUCCAGCCUGGGCGACAGAGCGAGACUCCAUCUCAAAGAAAAACAAAAACAAAAACAAAAAAAAAC